GACGAACGCUGGCGGCGUGCUUAACACAUGCAAGUCGAGCGGUAAGGCCCUUUCGGGGGUACACGAGCGGCGAACGGGUGAGUAACACGUGGGUGACCUGCCCUUAGCUCUGGGAUAAGCCUGGGAAACUGGGUCUAAUACCGGAUAUGACUCCAUAACGCAUGUUGUGGGGUGGAAAGCCUUGUGCGGCUAGGGGAUGGGGCCCGCGGCCUAUCAGCUUGUUGGUGGGGUGAUGGCCUACCAAGGCGACGACGGGUAGCCGGCCUGAGAGGGCGACCGGCCACACUGGGACUGAGACACGGCCCAGACUCCUACGGGAGGCAGCAGUGGGGAAUCUUGCGCAAUGGGCGAAAGCCUGACGCAGCGACGCCGCGUGGGGA
rnacentral:rRNA from 1 species